rnacentral:rRNA from 1 species
AUUGAACGCUGGCGGCAGGCCUAACACAUGCAAGUCGAAUGAUAACAGCAAACAGCUUGCUGUUUCGCUGACGAGUGGCGGGGAGGUUGGUAAUUUCUGGGAAACUACCUGAUGGAGGGGGUUCACUACUGGAAUCGGUCGCUCAGACCGCAUAACGUCGCCCGUCAAAACAGCGGGCCCUUCGUGCCUCUUGCCAUCAGAUAUGCCCACAUGGGAGUGGCUAGUAGGAGGGGUAACGACUCACCUAGGCGCCGCUCGCUAGCUGGUCUGAGAGGAUGACCAGGCAGACUGGAACUGAGACACGGUCCAGACACCGACGAGGGGCAGCAGUGGGGAAUAUUGCACAAUGGGCGAAAGCCGGAUGCAGCCAUGCCGCGGGGAGGAAGAAGGACUUCGGGUUGGAAAGUACUUUCAGCGGGGGGGAAGGAAGUAAAUUUAACACCUGUGCACAUUGACGUUACCCGCAGAAGAAGCCCCGGCUAACUCCGUG